rnacentral:rRNA from 1 species
AGAGUUUGAUCCUGGCUCAGGAUGAACGCUGGCGGCGUGCUUAACACAUGCAAGUCGAACGAUGAACCACUUCGGUGGGGAUUAGUGGCGAACGGGUGAGUAACACGUGGGCAAUCUGCCCUGCACUCUGGGACAAGCCCUGGAAACGGGGUCUAAUACCGGAUAAUACUCCCGCACUCAUGUGUGGGGGUUAAAAGCUCCGGCGGUGCAGGAUGAGCCCGCGGCCUAUCAGCUUGUUGGUGAGGUAAUGGCUCACCAAGGCGACGACGGGUAGCCGGCCUGAGAGGGCGACCGGCCACACUGGGACUGAGACACGGCCCAGACUCCUACGGGAGGCAGCAGUGGGGAAUAUUGCACAAUGGGCGAAAGCCUGAUGCAGCGACGCCGCGUGAGGGAUGACGGCCUUCGGGUUGUAAACCUCUUUCAGCAGGGAAGAAGCGCAAGUGACGGUACCUGCAGAAGAAGCGCCGGCUAACUACGUGCCAGCAGCCGCGGUAAUACGUAGGGCGCAAGCGUUGUCCGGAAUUAUUGGGCGUAAAGAGCUCGUAGGCGGCUUGUCACGUCGGGUGUGAAAGCCCGGGGCUUAACCCCGGGUCUGCAUUCGAUACGGGCUAGCUAGAGUGUGGUAGGGGAGAUCGGAAUUCCUGGUGUAGCGGUGAAAUGCGCAGAUAUCAGGAGGAACACCGGUGGCGAAGGCGGAUCUCUGGGCCAUUACUGACGCUGAGGAGCGAAAGCGUGGGGAGCGAACAGGAUUAGAUACCCUGGUAGUCCACGCCGUAAACGGUGGGAACUAGGUGUUGGCGACAUUCCACGUCGUCGGUGCCGCAGCUAACGCAUUAAGUUCCCCGCCUGGGGAGUACGGCCGCAAGGUAAAACUCAAAGGAAUUGACGG